rnacentral:rRNA from 1 species
AUUGAACGCUGGCGGCAUGCCUUACACAUGCAAGUCGAACGGCAGCACGGGAGCAACCCUGGUGGCGAGUGGCGAACGGGUGAGUAAUAUAUCGGAACGUGCCCAGUCGUGGGGGAUAACGCAGCGAAAGCUGUACUAAUACCGCAUACGAUCUAAGGAUGAAAGCGGGGGAUCGCAAGACCUCGCGCGAUUGGAGCGGCCGAUAUCAGAUUAGCUAGUUGGUGGGGUAAAGGCCCACCAAGGCGACGAUCUGUAGCUGGUCUGAGAGGACGACCAGCCACACUGGAACUGAGACACGGUCCAGACUCCUACGGGAGGCAGCAGUGGGGAAUUUUGGACAAUGGGCGCAAGCCUGAUCCAGCAAUGCCGCGUGCAGGAUGAAGGCCUUCGGGUUGUAAACUGCUUUUGUACGGAACGAAACGGCCCUUUCUAAUACAAGGGGCUAAUGACGGUACCGUAAGAAUAAGCACCGGCUAACUACGUGCCAGCCGCCGCCGUAAAAC